rnacentral:rRNA from 1 species
AUUGAACGCUGGCGGCAUGCUUUACACAUGCAAGUCGAACGGCAGCGCGGGCUUCGGCCUGGCGGCGAGUGGCGAACGGGUGAGUAAUGCAUCGGAACGUGCCCAGUAGUGGGGGAUAGCCCGGCGAAAGCCGGAUAAAUACCGCAUACGACCUGAGGGUGAAAGCGGGGGACCGAAAGGCCUCGCGCUAUUGGAGCGGCCGAUGUCGGAUUAGCUAGUUGGUGGGGUAAAGGCUUACCAAGGCGACGAUCCGUAGCUGGUCUGAGAGGACGACCAGCCACACUGGGACUGAGACACGGCCCAGACUCCUACGGGAGGCAGCAGUGGGGAAUUUUGGACAAUGGGGGCAACCCUGAUCCAGCCAUGCCGCGUGCGGGAAGAAGGCCUUCGGGUUGUAAACCGCUUUUGUUCGGGAAGAAAUCCUCUGGGCUAAUACCCCGGGGGGAUGACGGUACCGGAAGAAUAAGCACCGGCUAACUACGUG